AUGUGCAGGGACUGGACGCGGGCGAAUUUUCUUGUUCCUGAUGAUAGUUAUGCCAAUACAGAGGAUUGGUGGCUAAGAGCACGGAAGGAUGUCCCCGAGUCUGACAGGUGCAGCUUUGACACGAUUAUCAUUCUCAUCCACUAGAGGAUCUGAAGAGAAAGAAAUGCCAGAAUUUUUGAGCAUGUGGCUUGUAGCGUUGAAAGGGUGCUUGAUUUAAUCAGAGAAGACAUUAGGGCCUGGAGGACAGUGGGCUGUAUCGGUGACCUUUUUUGA
rnacentral:rRNA from 1 species